UACAGAGGGGGCAAGCGUUAUUCGGAAUUAUUGGGCGUAAAGGGCGCGUAGGCGGCUUUUCAAGUGACGGGUGAAAUCCCUCGGCUUAACCGAGGAACUGCCUGUCAGACUGGAAGGCUUGAGACCGGGAGAGGUGAGUGGAAUUCCCAGUGUAGCGGUGAAAUGCGUAGAUAUUGGGAGGAACACCAGUGGCGAAGGCGGCUCACUGGACCGGUACUGACGCUGAGGCGCGAAAGCGUGGGGAGCGAACAGG
rnacentral:rRNA from 1 species